rnacentral:misc_RNA from 1 species
UCCAGUUUAACACUGGCAGUCCCUCUAGAGUGCCCAACUUAAUGAUGGCAACAAGAGGCGUGGGUUGCGCUCGUUACGGGACUUAACCCAACAUCUCACGACACGAGCUGACGACAGCCAUGCAGCACCUGUCUCUCUGUCCCCGAAGGGAAAACCAACUUUCGCUGGCGGUCAAAGGAUGUCAAGACCAGGAUAAGGUUCUUCGCGUUGCGUCGAAUUAAACCACAUGCUCCACUGCUUGUGCGGGUCCCCGUCAAUUUCUUUGAGUUUUAAUCUUGCGACCGUACUCCCCAGGCGGGAUGCUUAACGCGUUAGCUUCGUUACUGCACGAGUGUUGACACCCAUCCAACAACAAGCAUCCAUCGUUUACGGCGUGGACUAC